UUUUCAAUUGAAAAAAUAAAUAAAAGAAGAGGAAGGAGGAAGAUGUGCCAGGCAGAGGGGACAGCAUUUGCAAAGAUCGGGAUGGAGAUGUGCAAUCUAAGACUCAGAGAAGCUGGAGAAUUUUCCUAACGUCACACAGCAAAGGAAUGGAAGACUCAGGACAAGAAUACACGAUCCUCUCCUUCCAACAUGUCACCCAGCAGAACAAGAGAAGGAAUCACAAUUGGUCCAUGACAGUCACGGUCAUCUCAUUCCUCUUGCCAGUGGCAGGUGUAUGUGUGAGUUUGCAGCUCAAUCCUGGCCAAGGGGAUCCAAGGACUGCUGAAGAGGCAUGUCUGCACAUGUCACCUAGAACAUCUCCAGCCAUCAUGUGAUCUCUGGGGGAGGCAUUCCCAACUCUCUGAGAGAAGCAGACCAGAAAGAUGGAAAGAAAGCACCUGGCUCCAGGAUGAUGACAUUGAGCCGAUGAAUUAACCACCUUUGUGCUGCUCUAACCUUCAGAGUUCACCUUAACAUGAGAAAAUAAAACCCUUAUUGCUUA
rnacentral:lncRNA from 1 species